rnacentral:lncRNA from 1 species
UAAUAAUGUAUAAGUUGGAUUAGCUUAUUUAAAUAUAUUUGUUUUUCUCAUUUAUUUUAUAUAUUUAUCGUAUUACAAUUAAGAUGAAUUGAUUUGACUAACCAAUUUAUAAGCUUACGACGAAAGUUUAACUUUUAUAUGAAGGAUGAAAAGUAAAACAUGUGGAAUGUGUGAAAUUAAAGGUGAAAUAGUUAGUUAUUUGUUAUUUAGGAGUAGGGUGACAACACGCAUAUGCAAGAUGUUUGAUUAAGGAAAAGGAGGAGGAGGUGAUGAUGGUUGGGGUGACAGUGGUAGUUGGAGGUAACAUGGAGGUUCGCCGAUGAUACGUCACUAGAGACGUGGAUGUUUGUCGUUAAUAUUGACACACACGAUUAACAUUGAUGAUUGUUGAUGACAUGUAGACGAAAGACACUAGUAAUAGUGACGAUUAUGGUCAGAGUUAGAGAAGAAAGUGGAGGAGGAAGAAGUGAGGAAAAGAAAGAGGAAAAUGAAAGACAAUUGUAGAAGGAGGAUGAAAUCCUAAAAAAUGAAAAUGACCUGGAAUGAUGAUGGUGGUGUGACGACCAUCGAUAAUAAGAAGGAAAAGAAAGAUGAAAUAAUGAAAAGAAGAGGAAGAGAAAGAAAGAGACCAAUCACGUAUUUUAUCGUAAUUGUUACAGAUGAAUAUUUAUUGACAGAUAUAACGACGAAUUUGUACUCAUUAGUAAAAUUUACCAACAAUUACUUUAUCAACAAAUUUCUACUCAUUAGUAAUUUCU